CAAUUCAAGCUGGAGAAACUAGAGUUAAGCUGCUGUGAAAUGACAGAUGAAGGUUGUUCUGCUGUGACUUCAGCUCUGAAAUCAAACCCAUCACACCUGAGAGAACUGAACCUGAGUGGAAUAAACUAGGAGACUCUGGAGUGAAAAACCUCAGUGAUCUACUGAUGAACACACAAUUCAAGCUGGAGAAACUAGAUCUGUGGGAUUGCAGUAUUACAGAGAAACAGUGUCUCAUCCUGACUUCAGCUCUGAAAUCAAACCCAUCACACCUGAGAGAACUGAACCUGA